UACAGAGGGUGCGAGCGUUGUUCGGAAUUAUUGGGCGUAAAGCGCUUGUAGGCGGCACGUCAAGUCGCGUGUGAAAUCCCCAGGCUUAACCUGGGAAGUGCGCGCUAAACUGACGAGCUUGAGUGCCGGAGAGGGUCGCGGAAUUCCCGGUGUAGAGGUGAAAUGCGCAGAUAUCGGGAGGAACACCGGUGGCGAAGGCGGUUCUCUGGGCCUUACCUGACGCUGAGGAGCGAAAGCGUGGGGAGCGAACAGG
rnacentral:rRNA from 1 species